AUUGAACUCUGGCGGCAGGCCUAACACAUGCAAGUCGAGCGAGCGGCGGACGGGUGAGUAAUGUCUGGGAAACUGCCUGUUGGUUGGGGAUCACUCCUGGAAACUGUAGCUAAUACCGCAUACCAUCAGAUGUUCCCAGAUGGUAUUAGCUAGUAGGUGGGGUAACGGCUCACCUAGGCGACCAUCCCUAGCUGGUCUGAGAGGAUGACCAGACACACUGGAACUGAGACACGGUCCAGACUCCUACGGGAGGCAGCAGUGGGGAAUAUUGCACAAUGGGCGCAAGCCGGACGCAGCCAUGCCGCGUGGGUGAAGAAGGCCUUCGGGUUGUAAGGCACUUUCAGCGGGGAGGCGUUACCCGCAGAAGAAGCACCGGCUAACUCCGUGCCAGCAGCCGCGGUAAUAC
rnacentral:rRNA from 1 species